AGCGAACGCUGGCGGCGUGCUUAACACAUGCAAGUCGAGCGAAGGUGUUUCAAGGGUAACCUUGAGAUACACUUAGCGGCGGACGGGUGAGUAAUACGUGGAUAACUUACCUCUAGGCCUGGGAUAACCCCGGGAACGUGGGCUAAUACCUGAUAAGACCACAUUGUCUACGGACGAAAGGGGUAAAAGGUGGCUGUGCAAACAGCUAUCGCCAAAAGAUAGGUUCACGUCCCAUCAGGCAGUUGGCGAGGUAAUGGCUCACCAAACCAAAGACGGGUAGCCGGCCUUGGCGGGUGAACGGCCACACGGGGACUGAGACACGGCCCCG
rnacentral:rRNA from 1 species